CACCGACCACCCUCUCAUUUUUUUCUCUCCUGCGUGCAAACAGCGCACGACCCGCACACGGCCACCAUUUUCUUAUUUUUCGGAGCAGCGCUCGCUCCUCCGGUCCUCCCUCUCGCUUGUGCCGACCAAGGAGCCCUGGGCAGUAGCAGCCCGACCAGGGACAAGAACUCACGAAGAGCGGAGGCGACGGCCGUUAUCGGGUGGUCGUCGACCAGAUCGGGGCCGGGGAGCAGCGACGCGGCGGCCUAGGGAGGCGUCGGCAACGGCCAAAACGAGGCGGCGACAGUCGGGGAAGGCCCGGCGGCUUCUGGAAUGGAGCGGCAGCGGUCGAACAAUGCCGGCCGGGUCGGGGCCAAAUUUGGCCCAAUUGAGGCCAAAUCGAACGAAAUCGGGGUCUCAUCCCUGCAACCACGCCGCCCCUCUCCCUUACUUCCCCAGCCUUGCUCCCGCAGCCACGUCGCCGGGAGCCCCAUCCCCGCACCUCACCGCCGUCCUCAGCCCUAUGGCUCGCCCGCGCUUUGUGUUUGCGUUGUGGUUGCUGGGGUUUCAAUUUCAUCGGAGGCGGCGGCGUUGGGAUACGGCUCUCCGGCAGGCUUCGCAGUUUAGGGCGUUGAUUCCGGGCGAUGCUGGCGGUGGGCUGCUGGUUACUGCGCUUCUUCUUCUGGAGGAAAUUUCAAGUUCUCAUUUCCUAGUUGACUACAUCCCUACGCAAUUUAGUCUGUAUAAGGAUAUAUUGGAGUCCCUGCCUUGAAAUUCGUAUCCACAACUCCAGUUCAGCGAGGUUCAACUUUUAUAAAGGAGAGAUGGGAUUUGGAAGAUACACCUGAAACAGAGAAGAUUCUUGACACUGCUAGAGAGCGCUAUAGAGGAUGGCGGUGUACUUUGCAUUCCACCUACAAGGCUUAUAAGACGGAUGAAGAAAGCCGGGCGAACAGACCAGAAGACGUGGAUCCAGGUGAAUGGGAUUAUUUAAUAGAAUAUUUUGGGUCAGAUCAGAAAUUCCAGGAACUGAGUCAGAAGAACUCGGACAAUCGUAAAAAACAGAAGACCAAGCACCUGAUUGGUUCCAAGUCAUACUCAUAGAUUAGUUAUGAGAAGAGAAAUGUGGAGACAGGAGAAGAACCUGAUGAUAUCCAGCUUUGGGAGCUAACUCACGUGAAAAAUGAACAAUGCACGUGCAAAAGUUAGUGAAAAGGAAAAAUAAGGAGAUCCAAUUUCAAAAGAAGAGAGGAACAAAAUAUUUCAGACUAGCUAUAGGAAUUCAGCAGGUUGUAAGUCGUCGCGAUUCCUAGUACUGCUGAAAUACUUGCUGAGUUGAAUGAACAAGCUCGGGAGACAUCUCAAGCUAUGAGGAAAAAUGAGGAGCUCAACCAACAUGUCCAAAAACUUGGAAAACAAAAAUGAAGAGCUCAACCACACCAUCCAGGACUUGGAGAAUAAGCUGGCAGCGGAAUGUAAGGAAAGAGAGCGAGCACAAGAGGAAGAUCACAUAGAAAGGGAGAAACAACUGGAGACACUGAAGCAAUCAAUGAGAGAAGAAAUGCUUAAUAUGAUUGGGGCUCAACCAACAGCUACACAGAAGGAUGCUGCACUAAGAGCUAUCCCAGGAAAUGUAAACACGAACAGUGUAAUGCUCUCUGGUUCUAGCUUGGUUACGGGUCUAGGUCAACGCAUUAUCAGCUCUCAACAGCUUCGUCAAUCUGCUUUGAAAAAACGUUCUCAAGUUGGGAAGGAUGGAUACAUAUGACUGGAUGGAAUGAUUGGGUGAAGUGAACAAGAACGCAAAGUUUAGUAUCACAAGAUGGCUUUUACUUAGGACUAGUGGCUGGGGCGCCCCAUGGGGCACCUCCUCACCGGACAGUGGCAGUCUAAUCAUAAUCUAAUCUCCUCUUGUAGCAGGUUCUUUACCACCAAAAUGCAACCCCAAGCCUCACAGUUCGAUUUCCAUCACAUCUGUAGGCCAACAUAUUUUCUUACCCGUAUCAAGUAUCUAGGAGCAUCUGAAAAAUAACAUUCCCUUUGCUCCAAAUUAAUUGAAUCAGUUUUUUGUAGAUAAAUGUAUAUCUAGAUUAAGUUGAGUCAAUUAAUUUGGGACGGAAGGAAUAGAUAGUAUCUAGAAGUGCAGACCUUAUAUUAGUCUGCUACUACAUGAGGCUAGCCAGAUGUGACGUAUAUGACAGAUAAUUCGGAGAAAAAAUGUAUGAAGUGUAAUACAGAAAAAUCGACACUGCUCAUGUGCAAGUUGACAAGGUGUGACCAAUAUACUGUAUAAUAAGAAUGUUGGUAUCGGACAUGUUAAGACUUGA